GAGAUUUAUCUGGAGGCUCUGAUCUUAUGAGUUUUGAAAAAUCAAAAGAAUGUGCCUUCAUGGAUGCUUUUCUGAAUAUGAACUUUGAGUGCUAGACAACCUGGUAACUGGAUUAUAAAAAGGAAAAACCAAGCCUGGUUGUUUAAAUUAAGAUUGCCAUCUUCCUAAUGAGUGUCUAGUCUCCUCUGCCUCAGAGGAAAAUUAAGCUCAAAGAACUGAAGAGAUAUGCCUAUGGUUGCACAGGUAGCAAGAAGCACAGCUGGAUUCAAACCCAGAUUCCCCCAGAUGCAUGUUCAUUGAAUUGUAAAUCUUUCAGUCAUGAAAGUAAUUCUUCCUGAAUUUGAUGCCACCAUCUGAAUAUGAAUUCCAAGUCAGCAGGAGUCUGAUGAAUACUGAGGGUUUGUCAUCAUGGCUCAGGUCUGCAUCAUUGGACUCAGGCAUCUCAAACUGAAAUUAUCUAAUUAAAUUUAUUCCAUUCUUAAGAUAAAACCUAUUAUAAGAUCCAUGUCUUACUGACUUGAAUGGUUUGUUUUUUCCUUCAUUUUUCUUAUGAGUUCAUCUGAACAAUCUCUACUAGAAU